rnacentral:rRNA from 1 species
CAUGCAAGUCGAGCGGAAACGAUGGGAGCUUGCUCCCAGGCGUCGAGCGGCGGACGGGUGAGUAAUACUUAGGAAUCUGCCUAGUAGUGGGGGAUAGCUCGGGGAAACUCGAAUUAAUACCGCAUACGACCUACGGGUGAAAGGGGGCUUUUAGCUCUCGCUAUUAGAUGAGCCUAAGUCGGAUUAGCUAGUUGGUGGGGUAAAGGCCUACCAAGGCGACGAUCUGUAGCUGGUCUGAGAGGAUGAUCAGCCACACCGGGACUGAGACACGGCCCGGACUCCUACGGGAGGCAGCAGUGGGGAAUAUUGGACAAUGGGGGCAACCCUGAUCCAGCCAUGCCGCGUGUGUGAAGAAGGCCUUUUGGUUGUAAAGCACUUUAAGCAGUGAAGAAGACCUAACGGUUAAUACCCGUUAGCGAUGACAUUAGCUGCAGAAUAAGCACCGGCUAA